rnacentral:rRNA from 1 species
GUGGUAAUGCCGGAUGUUCCAGUUGAUCGCAUGGUCUUCUGGGAAAGCUUUCGCGGUAUGGGAUGGGGUCGCGUCCUAUCAGCUUGACGGCGGGGUAACGGCCCACCGUGGCUUCGACGGGUAGCCGGCCUGAGAGGGCGACCGGCCACAUUGGGACUGAGAUACGGCCCAGACUCCUACGGGAGGCAGCAGUGGGGAAUAUUGCACAAUGGGCGCAAGCCUGAUGCAGCGACGCCGCGUGAGGGAUGGAGGCCUUCGGGUUGUAAACCUCUUUUAUCGGGGAGCAAGCGUGAGUGAGUUUACCCGUUGAAUAAGCACCGGCUAACUACGUGCCAGCAGCCGCGGUAAUACGUAGGGUGCAAGCGUUAUCCGGAAUUAUUGGGCGUAAAGGGCUCGUAGGCGGUUCGUCGCGUCCGGUGUGAAAGUCCAUCGCUUAACGGUGGAUCCGCGCCGGGUACGGGCGGGCUUGAGUGCGGUAGGGGAGACUGGAAUUCCCGGUGUAACGGUGGAAUGUGU